GGGGAUUUAGCUCAGCAGUAUAAGCACCUGCCUUGGAAGCAGGCGUGAGUUCGAUCCCCG
rnacentral:tRNA from 1 species